AAAGAAUUAAGUACAUUCCCUUGACCCUGUGUGUCUAACCAAAGUCCACGGCCUGCCCACAGCCUUCUCCAUCAGUGCUUCCAGUCUGCCAAAAGACAAAAGACAGUUCCACUUAGAGACACACACAUUUUCAGUAAAUUACAACUAGUUAGGGGACCUUUAAUUCUGGGGGAAAUCUAUUUUAAAUUUGCGUUUGGGGGAGAGAAAACACGUAGACAAUUAAGUUAUUACUGGGUUUUAUGGAACUAAUUUAAUGCAAAUAGUCUACUCUCCUGUCACCACGGGAGGAUACAGAAGCCGGGAUUCUGGAAAGGCCAAUCAGAUGGUGAUGAAGUCCUGAAGCUCUGAGGACAGUCUUGGGAGGCCCUGAACUCAGCUUUGGGUUGGUUUCGUCUCUCAAUCUCCUAAAACAGUAACUCAAGAUAAUUCUAUUGACCAUGGCUUUCAUUGGAGAGAGAAUGCUAAACUCCUGGCUGCUCCAUGCUCAGAGCCGAGGGAGGCCGAGGACAGCUCUGUACCUAAGAAGAGUAAAUUCAGCCCUGGCCUCCAGGAGUUGAUAGGGACAUGUUGGUGGCAUGGGGCCACGUGGGCAUGCAUACAAACCUGCUUUUCACUCUCAUGGCCUUGCUCCUAUUCAGGCAAAAGGUCAGCCCCUGUGGAACUAAACUGCUUACUUGGAAGGCCGGGUAUUCGUUUGUCUUUCUGCACCUCUUCUGGCAACUUCUUUCUGGCUCUGGCCAGGCUGGGCAAGGAAAUAAAACAAUAGAAGACGGCUUCUCAGGCUUUUGGUCAAAGCCCCUCCAAGAGUGACACAAAGAAAUCACUAAAACCACCCCAACUCGAAAAAGAAAACACUAGAUUUUUUACUUUGUGAUUUGACUAUCAGUUCAAAUCGCAACCCACUCCCAGCAUUGUAGAUCUACUAUGGUGGGAGGUGAAGUCUAAAGUCUAAGUCUGACUGUAACUUAGCAGUGGGCACCUAGACUCCUUAACAAGUGCCACAACUUUAGUGCCCAAGGACAUGAGGAGGAAGCCCAUACCUAAAGGAGGCCUGACCUUUGACCCUGGAACCCACAGCUCAGGGUUGCUAGAGGCUAGAAAUUGGGGGGAGGCUGUUCAGAAAAGAGGCUGGAGAGAGGACCCUUGGAGGUCAGUGGGAGAAACCAAGUGUGUUCCUCUAGGAAGUCUGCCUUCCAGUUGCAAAGAGCUGAUAGCACUGCCAUAGCUGGAAACAUCCCAAGGCCUUAUCCUGCUGCAGGCUGUCAUCCAUCUUCUUGGCCCAGUGAGGGACCCACACCUCAUCUCCUCACUGCCUCCACCUUGGAGAAAGUCACCCUAAUUGGAAAAAAGAGCAAGUCCAGCCAGACCAGACCUCAGAGCCUGUCAGACUUCCAAGGAGCAAGUUGAUCCAUGCCUUUCUUCAGCCCUGAACCUAAUGGAGAACCAGGACUACCUUGGAGGAGCCAUGCAUCUAUAGGGUUUACGGAAGAGAUGGGUGACUAGUUUCAUUUCUACAACUACCAGGAGAUAAACCCUCUAGGCUGGUUUCCACAACAGAAACAGAGGUGCGAUGAAGCACUUUAGAAAUGAGUCCCAGUACAUGCCGCCACCAAACAAGCUCUGCCUCCAAAUCCUAAGGCUCAAUUAAGGGCUACAAGGGACCUGGCUGAGUAGAUUUUUUUUUCCUAAUUAUGCUGUUAAGUGUGUGUGUGAAGCCACAGUCAAGAAAGCCACAGUGUUCCAGAAGGAGGCAGUGGAUGGGGUAGGAGUGGGCAUUGCAGACAGCAUGCGCCUCGAGCUGUGGACAGACUCCUGAUGGAUUCUGACUCCGCUUGAGGAUGAUGGGGAGUGUGAAGAGAGAUACACUGUGGAUCCUUUCUUCUUUCCUUCUUUCCUUCCUUCCUUCCUUCCUUCCUUCGUUUUAAUGUAGAUAAAUAACCUCAGGGGUUAUGUGGUCAUUGUAGUACAUUCCUUAAACAUAUACACCACCACUAUAUUUAAAGAAUUCAGUCCAGGCUGAUGUGGAAAAACCCAUUCUCCCGAUUCCAGCCAGGCUCUGAAAGCCAGGAAAAUACACACACACACACACACACACACACACACACACCAAAGAGUGGGGUGGGAGAGGGAGGAUGGGAGACAGAAAGAGAAAGAGAGAGGGUCCUAAGAUUGAAGGCUAGGUGGGGGAUUGGAUCGGGUGGCUGGCUCCUGGUGCUGCUGGAGUUCCGGCAUCUGAAAAUUACCUAGGGAAACAAGACAUGAGACCUGAGUUAGAGGUCAAGUUAGGAUCACCCAGCAUUUUGUUGGGAGCAAGGCAGAGCUGAGAACACCUCUGAUGGUCUGAGUUGCUGCAGACUAUUAGAGCUUAGGAAAUUUCUUCUCCUGGCAUGCAUAACAGCAAUCAUGUCCUGACUAGGAAGACCCUCACAUCUCCUCAGGGGCCUGGACUGUGGCAUCCCACUUCCCAACUGCCCUAUCAGCUGGCUUCCUCUGUGUUUUGCCAGGCAAAUGAAACAAACAGAACUCAAUAGCAAAUUAUUUUGUUCAGCCUUCUGUCUUUUUAUGAAAAUAAAAGCCAACACUUUGUCAUUUUUAAUCACAUAAGCAGACAAUAAAUUUAAUUUUGAUAUUGA